GGGUUCGAUUCCGGAGAGGGAGCCUGAGAAACGGCUACCACAUCCAAGGAAGGCAGCAGGCGCGCAAAUUACCCAAUCCCGACACGGGGAGGUAGUGACAAUAAAUAACAAUACGGGGCUCUUUCGGGUCUCGUAAUUGGAAUGAGUACAAUUUAAAUCCCUUAACGAGGAACAAUUGGAGGGCAAGUCUGGUGCCAGCAGCCGCGGUAAUUCCAGCUCCAAUAGCGUAUAUUAAAGUUGUUGCAGUUAAAAAGCUCGUAGUUGAAUUUCGGGAUUGACACAUCGGUCGUGCCUUAAGGGGUAUGAACUGGUGUAGUCAAUUUCUCACCUUCUGGAGAACCGCGAUGCCCUUAAUUGGGUGUCGCGGGGAACCAGGACCUUUACUUCGAAAAAAUUAGAGUGUUUAAAGCAGGCAUUUUGCUUGAAUACAUUAGCAUGGAAUAAUAAAAUAGGACGGCAUGAUUCUAUUUUGUUGGUUUCUAGGAUCACCGUAAUGAUUAAUAGGGAUAGUUGGGGGCAUUAGUAUUCAAUUGUCAGAGGUGAAAUUCUUGGAUUUAUUGAAGACUAACUACUGCGAAAGCAUUUGCCAAGGAUGUUUUCAUUAAUCAAGAACGAAAGUUAGGGGAUCGAAGACGAUCAGAUACCGUCGUAGUCUUAACCAUAAACUAUGCCGACUAGGAAUCANACGAUGUUAAUUUUUUAAUGACUCGUUU
rnacentral:rRNA from 1 species